UCCCCGAUAGCUCAACUGGUUGAGCAGGCGGCUGUUAACCGCACGGUUGCAGGUUCGAGCCCUGCUCGGGGAGCCG
rnacentral:tRNA from 1 species